AUGGAGAAGAGUCCAUUGGCAGCCUUGCUGCUAAUCCUGUGGGUUCACAUUGGCGGAGUGGGCAGCGUAUCGAAUGUGGAGCAGAAUCCUCCAUGGCUGCAUGUUCAGGAAGGAGAGAACACCAAUUUCACCUGCCGUUUUCCUUCUAGCAAUUUCUACUCUUUACACUGGUACAGAUGGGCACCUGCAAAAAACCCCACGUUCCUAAUUUCAGUUACUUUAAAUGGGGAUGAAAAGAGGAAAGGACGAGUAAAAACCACUCUUAAUACACAGGAGGGUUAUAGUUCCUUGUACAUCAGAGGAUGCCAGCCUGAAGAUGCAGCCACGUACCUCUGUGCCAUGACACAGUGCUCUUCAGACAGCUGCAGCCCAUACCAAAACCUGCGGCUGAUGCUGCUCUGGCACCAGCAUUGA